rnacentral:lncRNA from 1 species
CUUGGGAGGGACAUCUGAGGGCUUCUGUUAUACUCAGUGGUUUCUUAAUCUGGUUGAUGAUGACUGGUGCUGGAAGAAGAUGGAAGAAGGCUCUGAAAGUGUUUCUUGAAACUAAGAGGAAGGAGUGGACAGUCUUCACGGUGGAUGGGGUUUGCAAAGUGCACACCAAAGACUCCAGAGAAGACGUUGCCAGUUCAUAUCCCAAAUGUUGUUCUUUUGAAGCCCAUGAGUGAGUGAAAGUAGAAGUUGUCCCAGAAAUCUGCAGGACCACAAGCCACAAAAAGAGGAUCCAUGCACUGCUGGAGAGUAGGGCUGCCAGAUUUAGAAAAUAAAAAU